UCCCGGGUAGCUCAGUGGUAGAGCAUCUCGCUGUUAACGAGAGGGUCGUCGGUUCGAAACCGACCCCGGGAGCCA
rnacentral:tRNA from 1 species